UACGAGUGCCCCAAGCGUUAUCCGGAAUUAUUGGGCGUAAAGGGUGUGUAGGUGGUUUUGUUAGUCUUCUGUUAAAUUCUUCGGCUUAACCGGGGGUCUGCAAAAGAAACGGCAAAACUAGAGGAUGCGAGAGGUGUGCGGAACUCAUGGUGUAGGGGUGAAAUCCGUUGAUAUCAUGGGGAACACCGAAAGCGAAGGCAGCACACUGGCGCACUCCUGACACUGAAACACGAAAGCGUGGGGAGCGAACAGG
rnacentral:rRNA from 1 species